GAAACUAUAAGCUCAAAAUGGAGAAAUGACAUGAAAAUUCAUAAGACUAUCUUUUACCACGCAAGAUGACUGUCAGAUAAAACAGAGAAAACAUACCCAAAACCUAGUACAUUACUACAGCGGUAAUAGUAAAAAAUAAAAAAAAAUAAAGGAUCAAAUACAACAUCUAUGCACAAUCAAAUGUUUUCCAUGUUCAAUUCUCAUGCUUCAUGCCCAAAGUUUGAAAAUUUAAUGCGAGUUCGACCUUAUAGGUGUGUUAAUGCUACUGUGUAUAUAACACAUACACAGUAGCAUUAACUCACCAUAUUUGGGUACAUGGAGAGGAGCUCUAAGAUAAGCAAAUUCUGUGUGAUUAUCUUUGAAAGCAUGAGCUUCUUGUGAAUCCAUUGUGAAACAGAAUGGUGUCUCGAUG
rnacentral:lncRNA from 1 species